rnacentral:rRNA from 1 species
AUGAACGCUGGCGGCGUGCCUAAUACAUGCAAGUCGAGCGAACGGACGAGAAGCUUGCUUCUCUGAUGUUAGCGGCGGACGGGUGAGUAACACGUGGAUAACCUACCUAUAAGACUGGGAUAACUUCGGGAAACCGGAGCUAAUACCGGAUGAUAUUUUGAACCGCAUGGUUCAAAAGUGAAAGACGGUCUUGCUGUCACUUAUAGAUGGAUCCGCGCUGCAUUAGCUAGUUGGUAAGGUAACGGCUUACCAAGGCAACGAUGCAUAGCCGACCUGAGAGGGUGAUCGGCCAAACUGGAACUGAGACACGGUCCAGACUCCUACGGGAGGCAGCAGUAGGGAAUCUUCCGCAAUGGGCGAAAGCCUGACGGAGCAACGCCGCGUGAGUGAUGAAGGUCUUCGGAUCGUAAAACUCUGUUAUUAGGGAAGAACAUAUGUGUAAGUAACUGUGCACAUCUUGACGGUACCUAAUCAGAAAGCCACGGCUAACUACGUG